rnacentral:rRNA from 1 species
UACGGGGGGGGCAAGCGUUGUUCGGAAUUACUGGGCGUAAAGGGCGCGUAGGCGGCAUGGCAAGUCACUUGUGAAAUCUCCGGGCUUAACUCGGAACGGCCAAGUGAAACUGUCAAGCUAGAGUGUGGAAGGGGCAAUCGGAAUUCUUGGUGUAGCGGUGAAAUGCGUAGAUAUCAAGAGGAACACCUGAGGUGAAGACGGGUUGCUGGGCCAACACUGACGCUGAUGCGCGAAAGCCAGGGGAGCAAACGGG